AAAAAAAAAAAGCAAGCAAAGGCACAAAGCUGGGUUUAUCAACAGCCAAAAGCAAGCGCCCUUUUCAAUGACUUCUUCUUCAUUACUGGCACUGGGACUGCUGCUAGCACCUCAACCGUUUUCUCCACCUUCUUAUCUACCACCGUUACAGGAUCCUAAUUUACAAAACAAUAUCACAUAACUAUUUAAAUACUCAGAUUUACAAAACAAAAUUGCAGAAACAAUCAACCUUUCUUCUUUCAAACAAAUAUAAUAUCCUUAUUUAGUUUUUAUCAGUCCGAUUCAUUCAAUUAUCAUCAUCGAGAUCAAACGCUGAAGUCGUGUAUGUUAAAGUUGGAGAUGUAAUGGUUUUGAAGGAUCUUGCAAAAUCAGACAACUCUAUCAGAAGAUUAGUUGCAGUUAAAGGGUACGAAAUGGUGUCUCUUGAUGAAAAGGAUGAACCUUUUGUUCUUGAGAAGGACGAGUGGGGUUUUGACUGUUGUUUUCGUUGCUGCGGCGACAGGGGACGAGACAUGGUCUCCGAACUUGCUUUGGGGCGUAAUCAGUAACCGUAGCUUGUGCCUGAGGAUUCAUUUGCCAUCUUGUACCGAUUGUUUAGUGACUGAAAAGCUCCUUUUGUUGACCACGAUGAAUGGCAUCUGUUCCUCUUUUAGUGGUUGCGUUUGAUGUUAAUAGAAAUUAAAAUAAUAAAAAUCCACCCCUAAUUUGAAACUGCAU